UUGCUCCCAGCGGCAGGGUGGCUGCACUGGCCUUUGGCGAGCUGGCACUCUUGACUUUUAGAGGGACAAUGAAUGUCUAUGGCACAUUUGUGUCAUGUGUUUCCAAUGCUGCUUGGACCUCACCAAGCUGGCCUCAGGAGUGAUGUCCUGGCCACCUGGGCCUGCCCUGGACAGGGCUACCUGGCACCCACAGGUAUCAGGACUCACCUGUGGCUCCCACACACUUUUUUUGCAGGUUGGCAGCAGCCUGGGAUGGAAAGGCAUGAUGGAGGCAAGAAUGGUCAGAUCCAGACCUCUGACCUCUGACCUUUCACAGUCUGGCUCAGUCCUAACCAGCAAUGCCCACACAACCCCUGUGGUGACGGCCACCAGCUCUUGUCCAAGGUCCUACACACACCAGGACCAGUGUGUGCCAUGGAUCAGAGACUUUCCUCUAUUUGGCCCAAGAUAACUGUGUUUUGCUGCAACUUGCUGAUGUUCCAACAACUUCCAAGACCCUUGCGAGCUUUCUGAAGGACUGACUGCUUUGGAAUUAAGGGUGGUUUUGAGAAGUGCUUGUAAACUUCCACCAUGGCAUCCCUGUGACAUGGAGGUGACUCUGAGGUGGCGUAACCUCAGGGCCUUUUCCCUCCAACCCUUCCAUUCCUCUGCACCUUUGGAGCAUUAUCUUAGGGAGCCUGGGACAGCAGAGGACUCUCAGAUGGAUCCUUCUGACUUAGCAAAAGCUCUCUCCAGCUGACAGGGACGGAUGAGGGACAAGCCCUGCAGGCACUUUGCAGCGGUGCAUUUCUAGAAACUGCCUUGGAGAGCAGGCAGCACUUCCCCAAGGAACCAUGGGGAUAGAGAUGGAAUAAAUGAUGAGGGCCCCUGACAUUCCAAGGACGUG
rnacentral:lncRNA from 1 species